CAGGCAUGCUGGAGCCCCGCAGCGGCGCCUGGGUUGGUCGAUGACACGACCCGACACCGUUUCACUUCCGGGGCUUUG
rnacentral:ncRNA from 1 species